UUGUGGUUCAGGUAUUUGUUUCAGACAUGAGUUGUCAAAAGUUUUGCUUGAGGCAUGGCCUGAUAACUGCCUUUUGUUUGUUUUAGAAACAGAGGGAGAAAAAAAGUAACCACUGCACUGAAGCUUCCUUCAAUGCAAUUCAAUGCAGUGGGGACCAGCCUCGAACCUGGAUUUUACAUAUGGCAAAGCAGCACACACUAUCCCAGUGAGCUGUUUAGACAUUCCUAAUCUCUUUGGGAGCUAACUUGAAUCCUGGUUUUGGUAAAACUGCUAAAAAUCAAACAUUUCCUAACUGACCACACAUCAAUGCCAUGAAACUUCACAAAAUAGUGGCAAGUAAGUCCAUGGAAUAUGGGAACAUCUAGAAGUUUGCUGUUAUCUAUCUCACUGUAAGGAGACUUGAGUGAAAAGAAAAUGUCUUGAGUUGUAGCUGACAAGUCUCCCCCCUUCGUCCUCUCAGAAGAAAGGAAGAAGUAGAAUGUUUUAGUAUGCGGGAAGCUUCAUGAGUGGUGGAGUAGGACUGUAGGUGUCUGUCUGUCUGUCUGUCUCUCCCUCUCUACCUCCCCUGCCCCUCUCAAUUUCUGUUUGUCUCUAUCCAAUCAAUCAAUAAAAGUAAACCUGAGAGUAUAUCUGUUUCCAUCUGGAGAGAAUGAGAGCAAAGUCUGAGCUACAAUUCGAGUCUUAGUCCCAUAGAGUAGUAGUUAAGCUGCUGCCAUGGCCACAAAGAAUGAGCUGAGUCACUGACUUAUAAACCCCACCAGAAACAAGUCCACUUGGCGUUGGGACUACUAGGAAACCAUCACACUCAAUCUGAUUACCCUGGAGAAAUAGCAGCCAAUAAGUUAUUUUUAAUUAAAGAGACAGUUUCAAGAGGACUAAAAUCUGUGCUUCAACUUGAACUGGAGUUGGUAUAUUGCACCAAAGUAAAAGACUCUGGUGUGGUUGGGGGGAGAGUACAGGUCCUGGAAAAGGAUGACAGAGGACCUAGUGGGGGUUGUAUUGUUAUGUGGAAAAUUGAGAAAUGUUAUUCAUGUACAAACUAUUAUAUUUAUUGUCAAAUGUAAAACAUUAAUCCCCCAAUAAAGAAAUUUUUAAAAAUCUA